rfam:Prochlorococcus marinus MED4 complete genome.
GGGAGUGUGGCGGAAUUGGUAGACGCGCCGGACUUAAAAUCCGUCGAGCGCUUUAGCUCGUGGGGGUUCAAGUCCCCCCACUCCCA